GGGAAGAUGGCAGAGAGGUCGAUUGCAUCGGUUUUGAAAACCGUCGUAGCAAUAGCUACCGAGGGUUCGAAUCCCUCUUUUCCCA
rnacentral:tRNA from 2 species